AGCGAACGCUGGCGGCAGGCCUAACACAUGCAAGUCGAACGAACCUUUCGGGGUUAGUGGCGGACGGGUGAGUAACAUGUGGGAACGUGCCUUUAGGUUCGGAAUAACUCAGGGAAACUUGUGCUAAUACCGAAUGUGCCCUUCGGGGGAAAGAUUUAUCGCCUUUAGAGCGGCCCGCGUCUGAUUAGCUAGUUGGUUGAGGUAAUGGCUCACCAAGGCUACGAUCAGUAGCUGGUCUGAGAGGAUGAACAGCCACAUUGGGACUGAGACACGGCCCAAACUCCUACGGGAGGCAGCAGUGGGGAAUCUUGCGCAAUGGGCGAAAGCCUGACGCAGCCAUGCCGCGUGAAUGAUGAAGGUCUUAGGAUUGUAAAAUUCUUUCACCGGGGACGAUAAUGACGGUACCCGGAGAAGAAGCCCCGGCUAACUUCGUG
rnacentral:rRNA from 1 species